ACACGUGCACCUCGCGGGGAUCACCUGGCACAGGCACCCUGACUGGGCUGGCAGAGCUGCUGAAACUCCUGCUCCCACCCAGGGCAGCUUUGUGGGCCCUGCGGGGGGAUCCCUCUGUCCCCAUCGGCACCUCCGUGGUCCUUGUUGCAAGUUCACAGCAGAAAGGCUGAUGCCAGUUCCCAAGGUCCCCGGGGUCGAGGACAAAGCCAGAAACCAGGGCAUCAUUUACCCAGAACACCGCCAUCACAGCAGCAGGCAUGUGCAGCACUGGGAAAUUGCAUGUUCCAGAAGCUUCUGUGAGGAGUCUGCCGGGCUGUGAGGCAUCCCUGAAGUGGACAUUCUGUCACCCCCUCCAUGGGGGAGCGGGCCAGGUGGGAAGGCAGACCUGUGCUCUUGCUUCAGUCCCUGAGGGCCAAGACCACCCCCUUUACAGAGGACACUGGAGAGUGUGAGCCAGGGCCUGGGCCCCACCCUGGAACCUGCCCUGGGUGUCCCCAGGGGACACCUGCAGGGGAGUUAACACAGGAAUGAAUAUAGGAGUUGUGAGCAAUCCCCAUCUUGUUCCAUAGGACACCCGUGGUGGACACCAGUGCUGCCCUACCUGCCCUGCCAUGCACCUGAGGCUGCCGGGUGUUUGAGAGGCUGGCGCAGCUGCAGCCUGAACCCCCCUAUCUUAGGUGUGAUGUUUGUUUCAUGGCCACAUGUGCUAGUGGCCCCCGUGUAGGGGUGGGAGAGAGACACGCACCGUUGAACAAACGCGGGAGGCCUUCUAAAAGGAACUGCUGGGGGAAGCUUGGGCGGGUCCAGGGCGGUCUUACAGGCCUGGAGUGGGGCCAAGGAGCCCAGAGAUGUGGAGAGUGCUGGGGCAUUGGCCCCUCUUUCUGCGCCCCCUGUCCCGUCCCCAGACCUGGAGUCGCCCUGCACCCAGGACCCACUGAGUGUAGCCAGAGGGAAGCCUGGAGAGCCAGGGGAGGGAGCCCCAUGCCCAGGAUGUGGAGGACAGCUGCCCUCGACCUGACCAGGGGGCCCUGGAGUCUGGGCUGCAUCUGUGGGCUCCAGCUACUGCACCUGACACCUCGGGAAGCCCAUCACCCAGGAAAAUGAGGCAAAGACCCCACAACCUCAGGGCUCCAUUCGGCAAGCUCUUGGGCUGUCUCCAGUGAUUUACACCUCAACAAGGGCCCGUCCUCGAACUGGACGAGGAGCAGGAUGGGUGCAGGGUCCCCUCAUCAGAGAGACUGCACCUGACAUUCUCUCCUGGGGACACACGAGCAUUCACCUCUCAGCACAGCGUGGAGACGAAGCAGAGCCCUCCGUAUACCCCACACCUCAGAUGACCCCAGCUGGCGGAGCCAUCGGGAAACAGCCAGGGAGCUGCUCCAGGGACGCCCAGGUCCCGGCCCCAGACCCUACACCUAUGUCGCCUUCUGUGGCAAAAGGAACUCUGCUUAUGGGAUGGAAUGAAGCAUCUUGAGCUGGGCACCAUCCUGGAUUAUCCAGAGCUCAGCGUAUUGAAGUCACUGAGGUCCUUCUAAGAGGGAGGCAGAAUCCAAGAGAAGUGGAGGGUCAAUGCUGCUGGCUUUGAAGAUGGAGGAGAGCCUCCAGCAAGGGACGGAGUGGCUCUAGCAGCUGUGCAGGCAGGACACAGACCUCCCCGGCAGCCCCAGGGAUUGCCCUGCCGACACCUCGCGUUGGACUCCUACUCCCAGAG